rnacentral:rRNA from 1 species
AGCGAACGCUGGCGGCAGGCUUAACACAUGCGAGUCGAGCGGGCACUUUCGGGUGUCCGCGGCGGACGGGUGAGUAACGCGUGGGAACGUGCCCUCUGGUUCGGAAUAACUCAGGGAAACUUGAGCUAAUACCGGAUACGCCCUUUUGGGGAAAGGCUUGCUGCCGGAGGAUCGGCCCGCGUCUGUUUAGCUAGUUGGUGAGGUAACGGCUCACCAAGGCGACGAUCAGUAGCUGGUCUGAGAGGAUGAUCAGCCACACUGGGACUGAGACACGGCCCAGACUCCUACGGGAGGCAGCAGUGGGGAAUAUUGGACAAUGGGCGCAAGCCUGAUCCAGCCAUGCCGCGUGAGUGAUGAAGGCCUUAGGGUUGUAAAGCUCUUUUAUCCGGGACGAUAAUGACGGUACCGGAGGAAUAAGCCCCGGCUAACUUCGUG